rnacentral:lncRNA from 1 species
GACUUCCUUCUCAGGAUGGAACCAGCUUGGUGGCUUGAGGGAAAGGGGUUCUGAGUUGCAAAUCAGAAACUUGAAGAUGAAAUGGCUACUACGCUGGGUAUUGCCUUUAUCUUGAAUGCCAGCCUGAUGGUCCAAGGUGAACAAGCCUUCCUGUGUUUUCUGAAUGUGCAGUUCCCCCGCACUUUGCCUGCCACCAUGUAAGAUGUGUCUUUGCGCCUCCUUUGCCUUCCACCAUGAUUGUGCGGCCUCCCCAGCCAUGUGGAACGGCUGGAAAUGAUGGUAUGGAGAUGUUGCACCACGUGGUCCCUUCACUAGAGGAAGAGUGGUAUGAAUCGUGUCCGUCACUGUGACACCAUGCAGUCUUCCUGGCAGUACACAAGUUGUGAGAGUUUGCUACCAUUUUUACAUUUUUGUGAUUUAAAGUGUUGAAUAACAAUUAAUAAUGUCAUACAUACUAAAAUAUUAUUUUUAUCAUUUUACCCUUUUUUAGAAUUUAGUACUUAAACUUUCAAGAUAUUGUUAAAACUGAUAUUUCAGACAGAAAUUCUAGGUAAAUGACAUCUACUGUAUUUUAAGUUGGGGGCAUCCUAGAAAACCUGAGAAAAGUGGUGGCCAAAUUCCUGACCCUGCCUCUGUCCCUCAGUGCUUUCUGUCCAGACCCUUAGAGCCCCUGUGAGUCCUGAACGCUGCUCUGGCCUGCUGGACACCCAGGCCAGUGGCCCCUUAGACAGGCUGGACAUGCCUUCGUCUCACAAGGAGGCUCACCAGUACACAGAUGUUCAUAGUCUUCACAGCAGUUCCCAUGCCAGAGACACCGGCGGUCACACUGGCAGGCAGCGUCCCGGUUAAAUUUCUCAUUACAUCGAGAUGCACAGGAUUCUAUUUUUCCUAUGGGCAGUAAAGGUCACCAACUCAGCUCUAUGGAGACCCUGUUCUCCCCAGGGUGCCUCCUGCAGGAGGGUUCACAGACCAGGGCAGGAGUGUACCUGGCAGGGAAGGGCAUUACUCUCUGCAAAGGAGAAGUACAUCCACAGCCUCCCAUGCACAACAUAAGCCUCCUCCCCACCACCCAACACCCACCAAAUAUUUCAAGGCUCAUCAAAGAGACCAGGAUCACAAACCCAAAUCCCUAUUUGGGUUAGGCCCAUAACAUAAGCAAGUAAAGAAGCAGGGUAUGAGGCAGUAGGAAGAAAUGGAGACCGUGACAAACUUGAGAGCAAUGCUCCAUCUGAAAUUUGCAGCUGAUGCUCAGCUCUAGCCGAUUGUGGCCAUGUUGGGAUGUGUGCUCAGUGUUGCCAGAGCCUUCCCUUUUUUUUUCAAGAUAAAUCUUCAUUUUUAUGUGAAAUUUUCCAACCUUGUAACACUUUAAGCACACCAAAGAAAGAGGUCUGUGAACUGGGUGUAGCCCACAGGCCCCCUUCACCUGUCAUGUCAUGCUGCCCCAGGGAUGUCCCCUGCCCCUGACCCUCCGCUGGCUCUUAUUCCAUCCCUGUUAUGUUAUUUGCUUCUUUGCUCUUGUCUCCCCUUCUGGUCUUCUCUGCACGCUCUUUCCCCCUGUGUCACAUCUUUCUGUUCUUUCCCGUCUUUGGAGUACAUUCAGAUGAAUUUAUGCUCAGGGUGGGGAAUGAGGCGGGUGCGGGUGAGAAUUGGGCUCUGGCAUAGCAUUCUAUUAUGUAACCACAGACCACAUCCCCCACUGCAGCCAAAUGGUUUGCAGAAGCAAGCUUUUGGUCGCAAGGGACAUAAGACAAGACAUUUUGAAGGAACAGUGGAAACCCACUAUCCACUCUGGGCUUUAAGGGUGAUAACAGAGUCUUUGUUCGAUUUGAGGUUCCUGAGGUUUGGAUUUCACGAACGCUGGGUUCAGAGGUCAUACUGUGGGUUACAG